AUAUUGAACGCUGGCGGCAGGCCUAACACAUGCAAGUCGAGCGGUAGCACAGAGAGCUUGCUCUCGGGUGACGAGCGGCGGACGGGUGAGUAAUGUCUGGGAAACUGCCUGAUGGAGGGGGAUAACUACUGGAAACGGUAGCUAAUACCGCAUAAUGUCGCAAGACCAAAGUGGGGGACCUUCGGGCCUCAUGCCAUCAGAUGUGCCCAGAUGGGAUUAGCUAGUAGGUGGGGUAACGGCUCACCUAGGCGACGAUCCCUAGCUGGUCUGAGAGGAUGACCAGCCACACUGGAACUGAGACACGGUCCAGACUCCUACGGGAGGCAGCAGUGGGGAAUAUUGCACAAUGGGCGCAAGCCUGAUGCAGCCAUGCCGCGUGUGUGAAGAAGGCCUUCGGGUUGUAAAGCACUUUCAGCGGGGAGGAAGGCGAUAAGGUUAAUAACCUUGUCGAUUGACGUUACCCGCAGAAGAAGCACCGGCUAACUCCGUGCCAGCAGCCGCGGUAAUACGGAGGGUGCAAGCGUUAAUCGGAAUUACUGGGCGUAAAGCGCACGCAGGCGGUCUGUCAAGUCGGAUGUGAAAUCCCCGGGCUCAACCUGGGAACUGCAUUCGAAACUGGCAGGCUAGAGUCUUGUAGAGGGGGGUAGAAUUCCAGGUGUAGCGGUGAAAUGCGUAGAGAUCUGGAGGAAUACCGGUGGCGAAGGCGGCCCCCUGGACAAAGACUGACGCUCAGGUGCGAAAGCGUGGGGAGCAAACAGGAUUAGAUACCCUGGUAGUCCACGCCGUAAACGAUGUCGAUUUGGAGGUUGUGCCCUUGAGGCGUGGCUUCCGGAGCUAACGCGUUAAAUCGACCGCCUGGGGAGUACGGCCGCAAGGUUAAAACUCAAAUGAAUUGACGGGGGCCCGCACAAGCGGUGGAGCAUGUGGUUUAAUUCGAUGCAACGCGAAGAACCUUACCUGGUCUUGACAUCCACAGAACUUUCCAGAGAUGGAUUGGUGCCUUCGGGAACUGUGAGACAGGUGCUGCAUGGCUGUCGUCAGCUCGUGUUGUGAAAUGUUGGGUUAAGUCCCGCAACGAGCGCAACCCUUAUCCUUUGUUGCCAGCGGUCCGGCCGGGAACUCAAAGGAGACUGCCAGUGAUAAACUGGAGGAAGGUGGGGAUGACGUCAAGUCAUCAUGGCCCUUACGACCAGGGCUACACACGUGCUACAAUGGCAUAUACAAAGAGAAGCGACCUCGCGAGAGCAAGCGGACCUCAUAAAGUAUGUCGUAGUCCGGAUUGGAGUCUGCAACUCGACUCCAUGAAGUCGGAAUCGCUAGUAAUCGUAGAUCAGAAUGCUACGGUGAAUACGUUCCCGGGCCUUGUACACACCGCCCGUCACACCAUGGGAGUGGGUUGCAAAAGAAGUAGGUAGCUUAACCUUCGGGAGGGCGCUUACCACUUUGUGAUU
rnacentral:rRNA from 1 species